UUUUAGCUUAUAAAUUUUAUGUUGUAGUAAGUGUCCUUUUAUUAGGUAAUAAGCACGGUGGAAACGCUGAUGUGCAUCCACCUGUAAUUAAAUUGAAAAGUUAAAAUGGCAUAUUGAAAAGUACUUAACUUAUAAAAUCUUUCAAAUGGUUAUCAUGGUCCUCAUACUUUAAAAACUCUUACAAAUAAAUAAAGUGAAUUUAUAAUGAAUUGAUAACAUUAAUGGUUCAUGGCCUCUCUCUCUGCUCCUUCAUCUCUUCACUCUGUGCUCUGUGCUGUUCCUUUCUUCUGUCUAUUUUGUUGGAUUGUGUUAAGCCAGAUUCAAAUUUCAACUUGGAAUCUCUGAUUUGUCUUCUUCUUCCACUCCUUCUUCCCUUUGGGUCUCUAUUUCUGUGUCUUAUCUUUCUGUUUGUUUGUGACUUUGUGUGGUGUGAUGGGGGUGUGAAGUUGAUGUUAAAAGUCUCACCUUUCGAUUCGUUGAUGAUUUGUUCUGUUUUUGGGCUGAAAUCUGGAAAUGGGUGUUCGUUGUUAGGCAUUGAGGGUGUGAUCAUUGAUUUGAUUUGGCGGAGAUAGAAGAUGAAUUGUUGUGGGGGUCCUGGCUCUGUUCUUGGACUGGUUCUUAGGAUGACACAGUUCACUCUUGCUGCUGGGUCAAUUGCUUCCAUGGCCACCACAUCCAGAUUCUUUAAUUUGACCGCUUUUUGGUAACAGCAACACUGUCACUAGCAGCAGCUUCUGCCUCAGCUGGAAUAACAGUUUUGUACUUUCAUGAUCUGGGACACUGCCACUCUGGAGAGGAGUGUCAGAAGUACCAGGUUUCUGUGGCACUAGCAUUCCUAAGCUGGUUUUCAACUUUAUUAUCAUCUAUAAUCAUGUUUUGCCUACUAGCUACCAGAUAGGAAACUGUUGCUCUUUCUUCAAACAUUUCCACAACUUUCUCUCAUCCGACUCAAGUUCAUCUGAUUCAAAAUUAUCUUUUCACGCUGUUGAUAGGAGGGAAUGAAUCACUUCAGUUCUGCACUCUGAAAUUUACCUGGGGUAGCUUCAGAAUGCAGAUUGUAAAGGGGAGGAAAAAUGUAUAUAUGAUUUUGCCUUUCAAAGAUAUAAACCAGUGUCUACCACAAAGCUUAGAUGCAGCUACUUGAGAUGUUUUUUUUUAUAUUAUUUUACACUUAGCUUGAUCAUUCACACAAUAAAUAUUUACAUUUUAUGUCAAAUUAGCAUAAAUUUCCUAAGGUGAAACUCUUAGACAAAAAUAUCAAAAGCACCAAAAGAACUGCAUUAAAGUUCUGUUCUUCCAUGAACUUUGGUUGCUAAUACCAGAUGAUGUUUUGGUUA